CCUACGGGUGGCUGCAGUGAGGAAUAUUGGUCAAUGGACGAGAGUCUGAACCAGCCAAGUAGCGUGAAGGAUGACUGCCCUAUGGGUUGUAAACUUCUUUUAUAUGGGAAUAAAAUGUUCCACGUGUGGGAUUUUGUAUGUACCAUAUGAAUAAGGAUCGGCUAACUCCGUGCCAGCAGCCGCGGUAAUACGGAGGAUCCGAGCGUUAUCCGGAUUUAUUGGGUUUAAAGGGAGCGUAGGUGGAUUGUUAAGUCAGUUGUGAAAGUUUGCGGCUCAACCGUAAAAUUGCAGUUGAAACUGGCAGCCUUGAGUACAGUAGAGGUGGGCGGAAUUCGUGGUGUAGCGGUGAAAUGCUUAGAUAUCACGAAGAACUCCGAUUGCGAAGGCAGCUUACUGGACUGCAACUGACACUGAGGCUCGAAAGUGUGGGUAUCAAACAGGAUUAGAUACCCGGGUAGUC
rnacentral:rRNA from 1 species